rnacentral:rRNA from 1 species
CUACGGGAGGGAGCAGUGGGGAUUUUGGACAAUGGGCGCAACUGCAUCCAGCAAUGCCGCGUGCAGGAUGAAGGCCUUCGGGUUGUAAACUGCUUUUGUACGGAACGAAAAGGCUCUCACUAAUACUGGGGGCUCAUGACGGUACCGUAAGAAUAAGCACCGGCUAACUACGUGCCAGCAGCCGCGGUAAUACGUAGGGUGCAAGCGUUAAUCGGAAUUACUGGGCGUAAAGCGUGCGCAGGCGGUUAUGUAAGACAGAUGUGAAAUCCCCGGGCUUAACCUGGGAACUGCAUUUGUGACUGCAUAGCUAGAGUACGGCAGAGGGGGAUGGAAUUCCGCGUGUAGCAGUGAAAUGCGUAGAUAUGCGGAGGAACACCGAUGGCGAAGGCAAUCCCCUGGGCCUGUACUGACGCUCAUGCACGAAAGCGUGGGGAGCAAACAGGAUUAGAUACCCUGGUAGUCCACGCCCUAAACGAUGUCAACUGGUUGUUGGGUCUUCACUGACUCAGUAACGAAGCUAACGCGUGAAGUUGACCGCCUGGGGAGUACGGCCGCAAGGUUGAAACUUAAAUGAAUUGA